CCAGAUAGUUGGAUUAUCGCUAUCAGCUUUACUGAUAGAGGAAAGUCCGGGCUCCAUAAAGACACAGUGCCAGCUAAUUACUGGCGAGGGUGACUUCAGGGAUAGUGCCACAGAAAAUAAACCGCCUAAUCAAGGCAAGGGUGAAACGGCGAGGUAAGAGCUCACCGGUUUUUUGGUAACAAAAAACGCACGGCAAACCCCACUGGGAGCAAGGUUAAAUAGAGAAGACACUGCAGAAAUGCUAAAAACAGUCUUUAGUUAGUCUUCUGGGUUAACCGCUUGAGCUUGAGUGUGAACUCCAGCCUAGAGAAAUGAUAUCUUCAAUGACAGAACCCGGCUUAUAGACUGUCUGGCAAU
rnacentral:RNase_P_RNA from 1 species